rnacentral:tRNA from 1 species
GAGAAAGAAGCAUGAUGGUCAUGUGUCUGGCUUGAAACCAGUAGAAGGUGGUUCAAUUCCCCCCUUUCUUG